CGCGGAGCCCGGGGCGGGGAGCCCGGGGCGGGGAGCCGAGCGCGCGGCGAGGAGCCGUGCCCCUGCGCCCGCCGCCCCAGUCCAUCCAGCCAGCCGCCGAUAAAACCCGCCCUCCAGUCCUCACUCCCGGCAGUGCUUAUUUGACGAGAAAGGUCUCCCAGUGCUGCCGGUAGCAUGCAGCAUCCAGAGGCCCCUCUUGAGACUUCUGCAGCGUUAAGUGUUGAGAUCAGCUCAUUAAAGGAAGUGGCCACCUAGCCAUGGUCUUGAUUGUGCGGGACAAGUGGGCUUCUGCUUCACCCAAGGAAAUCCAGAUGGGUAUAUGAAGGUGCCAGCUGGCUCUAUAAUGAUGUUCUUCCGGAAACCCAAUGUUAGAGUGGAUCAGCAAAAAAAGACACUUCAGAACAUCACUCAGGCUACAAUCAAGAGAGAUAAAAAACUUGGAUGGACCUGCCUCCUGGGAGAUUCCAGUCCAAUCUGAGAUAUGUUCCCCUGGAGUCUUCUAUGAACUAAAGGCUGUCUGUCCAAGGAUUGUUUUCUUUUGGCUACAACAAAUCCAUCAUUCCUGAGCUGCUCCACCUUAAAAAUGAAGGAAUUUUUUUUUCAUCCCUGUAUUUGCCUGGCAGAAUCCUCACUCGAAAACAAACAAGCUGUUAAUCGGUGAAUAAAAGGAGAGAGAAAAAUCUUCAGAAAUUAUGUUUAGCCCCAUCUGGCCUUAGAAAAACAUGGGAAAUGGUGAUCAAGUACAUUCAGCAGGAUGGCUGCCUUUCAAGGGAAACAAUAUCUGGAUAUUUCUAUGUCUAGACCACAGAGGAAAAAUGCUUCCUUGGUAAUUAACCCAUUGAAAGCAGAACAGCCCACGUGGCUUUGAGAAACACGGGGAAGAGCUGGAAGGAUGCAUUCACUGAAAAUUCAGUCCACAGAUGUAAAAGUUUGUUCCCCAGUCUGUAUUUCAGCAUUUUAGAUCCAGAGUUUAUAUAAAGAACGAAUAGGGAAAGGUAAGUAGUUAUUAUUUUUUUCCUUAACCAGCCAAUGGUAUUUUUCACUUUACUAUUCACAUUUUGCUCCCUAUUUGCAUACCACUGCUAAGGAUCUUGUGACAAACCUUCAUUUUCUUGGCGCAUAAAGCAGGGAUCCUGCAGCGGAGGCCUUAAGGACAUUUCAUUAAGAAUUGAAAGAUAAGAAGGUUACUUAGAUAAGUGGUUUGUCUGGGUCCUG